AUUCAGCGGCGGACGGGUGAGUAAUGCCUAGGAAUCUGCCCGAUAGUGGGGGACAACGUUUCGAAAGGAACGCUAAUACCGCAUACGUCCUACGGGAGAAAGCAGGGGACCUUCGGGCCUUGCGCUAUCGGAUGAGCCUAGGUCGGAUUAGCUAGUUGGUGGGGUAAAGGCUCACCAAGGCGACGAUCCGUAACUGGUCUGAGAGGAUGAUCAGUCACACUGGAACUGAGACACGGUCCAGACUCCUACGGGAGGCAGCAGUGGGGAAUAUUGGACAAUGGGCGAAAGCCUGAUCCAGCCAUGCCGCGUGUGUGAAGAAGGUCUUCGGAUUGUAAAGCACUUUAAGCUGGGAGGAAGGGCAGUAAGUUAAUACCUUGCUGUUUUGACGUUACCAGCAGAAUAAGCACCGGCUAACUUCGUGCCAGCAGCCGCGGUAAUACGAAGGGUGCAAGCGUUAAUCGGAAUUACUGGGCGUAAAGCGCGCGUAGGUGGUUCAGCAAGUUGGAUGUGAAAGCCCCGGGCUCAACCUGGGAACUGCAUCCAAAACUACUGGGCUAGAGUAUGGUAGAGGGUGGUGGAAUUUCCUGUGUAGCGGUGAAAUGCGUAGAUAUAGGAAGGAACACCAGUGGCGAAGGCGACCACCUGGACUAAUACUGACACUGAGGUGCGAAAGCGUGGGGAGCAAACAGGAUUAGAUACCCUGGUAGUCCACGCCGUAAACGAUGUCAACUAGUUGUUGGGUUCCUUGAGGACUUAGUAACGAAGCUAACGCGAUAAGUUGACCGCCUGGGGAGUACGGCCGCAAGGUUAAAACUCAAAUGAAUUGACGGGGG
rnacentral:rRNA from 1 species